rnacentral:rRNA from 1 species
UACGUAGGUGGCGAGCGUUGUCCGGAUUUACUGGGCGUAAAGGGAGCGUAGGCGGACUUUUAAGUGAGAUGUGAAAUACCCGGGCUUAACUUGGGUGCUGCAUUUCAAACUGGAAGUCUAGAGUGCAGGAGAGGAGAAUGGAAUUCCUAGUGUAGCGGUGAAAUGCGUAGAGAUUAGGAAGAACACCAGUGGCGAAGGCGAUUCUCUGGACUGUAACUGACGCUGAGGCUCGAAAGCGUGGGGAGCAAACAGGAUUAGAUACCCGGGUAGU